GUCUAUGGCCAUACCACCCUGAACACGCCGGAUCUCUUCUGAUCUCGGAAGCUAAGCAGGGUCAGGCCUGGUUAGUACUUGGAUGGGAAAGAGGUGCUUUUGAAG
rnacentral:rRNA from 1 species